UUUUCUGCAGGGAUGAGCAUCUCAUCAUUACCUGCCUUUUGUUGCACACAGAAUUCCCUUGACACCUGGGGAGAGGAGAAGUCAGUGUUACCUCUGCAUCAAAUGUGGCACCUGCAGAAAACCUCCAAUGCUGAGGAAGAUUGUGGAAUCUCAGAAUGCAAAUUGUAAUCAGUUUCAUUCUGUGCAUAAUAGCAGCAUCUUCUCAAGGCUGAGGAGACACUGAAAUAAAAAACAGCUUCUGCCUCAAGAAACUUCAUGUCUCAUUGGGGAGGGAACCUGACCUAAGACAAUCACUCUUUGCAAUGAAAUCGAGGAAAGAAUGUCUGGAAUCCAAGGAGUUCUCUGUUGUAUUUUUGGUGCUUCCUUGCUGGUAAUAAUAAUGAACAGGGUAUCAAAGUAGUGCCAGCCUGGACUGAGGGUGCCAUGGCAUAACUCCUAUACUGCCGCUAGCUCAGGCACCAGAAGCAGAAGGCUGUCGAGAGAAUAUAGUUCUCACAGUUCCUUGGCAGCAAAUGUUACUCUUCUUCUUGGACUGUGCUCUCAGAACCAGACUUUUCUUCAUCAGGAAAAUGAUAGAUUCUGCUCCACUCACAAACGCUUCAGGACAUUUGGACACAGACAUAGCAGGAAGAUGGCUAUGUGAAGACAGAGGAAGAGAAUAGAAUGAGGCUCUCACCAGCCACAAAGCACCUGAUGACAUCAGAAUCUGGAGGAGGAAAGGAAGGACCCUCUCCUAAGAGGCUUGGAAGGGAGCAUGGCCCUGCCAACACCUUGACUUUGGACUUCCAUCUUCC